GGUCUUGUAUUCAAUAAUGAUUAUGAAAUGCAAUUUCAUAGGGGUGAUAUUAAAUCACUAAGGCUU
rnacentral:tRNA from 1 species